UACGUAGGGUGCGAGCGUUAAUCGGAAUUACUGGGCGUAAAGCGUGCGCAGGCGGUUGUGCAAGACAGAUGUGAAAUCCCCGGGCUUAACCUGGGAACUGCAUUUGUGACUGCACGGCUAGAGUACGGCAGAGGGGGAUGGAAUUCCGUGUGUAGCAGUGAAAUGCGUAGAUAUGCGGAGGAACACCGAUGGCGAAGGCAGUCCCCUGGGCCUGUACUGACGCUCAUGCACGAAAGCGUGGGGAGCAAACAGG
rnacentral:rRNA from 1 species